rnacentral:lncRNA from 1 species
CAGAGCACUUCCACAGUACCCCGACACAGCUGUGAAAUCUGAUGCACCUACCUUCUGUCCCAGUGGUCGCCUUUGAGUGAAUGGCUAUGAUGUGGUCCGAGGAAGACCUGCCCUUACUGUUACCAUGAAAUAGUAACAUGGAUGCAGAAGACUUAGGCCUACACUUCAUUCUUCAGUGCAAGGAGAGCAGCACCUGCUGGACAGAUGCUAAGGGAAUUAGAGUGAGACGGCACUGAGGAUGCACCGUCCUUCACAGGCCACAGACUGAGGGCCGCCAUUCUGUUCCUGGAGUCUCGCGGGGGCAGGAGGAGGUGGGUUGUUUCCAGGGGGACCUGAGGAGUCCGGGCCCCAAGAUUCAGAGGGAGGUUUCUGAGGCUGCCCGGUGGAUCCUCUGGGCUCUUAAAU